GUCAGUCCUGCAGCUGUGCACAGCCAUUGCUGAUUUGCAUGUUCCCAGAGCACAGCCCACUGCCCUGAGGACUUCUUCAUAGUCAGGUCACACCCUGUGCUGGAGUCAGCCUCAGACAGGCACAGCACAGACAUGAGGGCUGCCACUCAGCUCCUGGGGUUGUUGAUGCUCUGGCUUACAGGUGCCAAAUGUGACAUCCAGAUGACCCAGUCUCCAGGUUCCCUAUCUAAAUCUCUGGGAGAAAGUGUCACCAUCACAUGUCUGGCAAGUCAGAGCAUUGGUUGGAGUUUAGCAUGGUAUCAGUAUAUACCAGGGAAACUGAAACCUCCUAAGCAACUGAUCUAUGGUUCAAACCGCUUGGCAGAUGGACUCCCUUCAAGAUUCAGUGGCAGUGGAUCUGACACAGAAUUUUCUCUCAAGAUCAGCAGCCUGCAGGCUGAAGAUGUUGCACCUUAAUACUGUCAACAAAGUUCAAGUACCCCACCCACAGUGAU